rnacentral:rRNA from 1 species
AACGUAGGAGACAAACGUUAUCCGGAGUUACUGGGCGUAAAGGGUGCGUAGGCGGGUCUUUAAGUCAGGGGUGAAAUCCUGGAGCUCAACUCCAGAACUGCCUUUGAUACUGAAGAUCUUGAGUUCGGGAGAGGUGAGUGGAACUGCGAGUGUAGAGGUGAAAUUCGUAGAUAUUCGCAAGAACACCAGUGGCGAAGGCGGCUCACUGGCCCGAUACUGACGCUGAGGCACGAAAGCGUGGGGAGCAAACAGG